AAUGACAGGAACUAGAGGUAAAGGUGCAGUGAAGAACACAACUACAGCCUGAAGCCUGCUGCUGAUGACAGAAAGGUUGGGAAGCGGAAGGCAACUGUCGAUAAAAGUACGGUUCGGAAAGCCAAGAAGGAGAGGAAGCUAAUAAAGAUCCCAACAAACCAAAGAGGCCUCUAGUGCUUUCUUUGUUUUCCUCGCAGAGUUUAGAACUACUUUCAAGAAGGAAAAUCCUAAUGUGAAGGCUGUAUCGGCUGAAAGUUG